AGAGUUGUAGUCAAUUAUGAUUUAUGAUUUGCAAUCAUAAGGUAUCGGUAGAUCAACUUU
rnacentral:tRNA from 1 species